AUUCCAGUGUGUAUCUUCAGUGCAAACUGACCGUGUGCCAGAGAAACAAUUACAACUCCUGUUGCUAUCAGGACUCCCUUGCUAGACGUAAAAGAGCUGCUGAACAAGUCCAUGAUCAAAUAACUGUCUCUCUUGGGCCAUUUGAACGUAAAAAUUAGCAACUCGCUACCUACUUUCCUUAAAAUCAAAGGAUAGUUCUCU